rnacentral:rRNA from 1 species
GAUGAACGCUAGCGGCAGGCCUAACACAUGCAAGUCGAGGGGUAUAGUAGCAAUACUAGAGACCGGCGCACGGGUGCGUAACGCGUAUGCAAUCUACCUUUUACAGGGGAAUAGCCCAGAGAAAUUUGGAUUAAUGCCCCAUAGUAUAUAAGAAUCGCAUGGUUUUUAUAUUAAAGUUCCAACGGUAAAAGAUGAGCAUGCGUCCCAUUAGUUAGUUGGUAAGGUAACGGCUUACCAAGACUAUGAUGGGUAGGGGUCCUGAGAGGGAGAUCCCCCACACUGGUACUGAGACACGGACCAGACUCCUACGGGAGGCAGCAGUGAGGAAUAUUGGACAAUGGGCGCAAGCCUGAUCCAGCCAUGCCGCGUGCAGGAAGACGCAUCUAUGGUGUGUAAACUGCUUUUGUACAGGAAGAAACACUCCCUCGUGAGGGAGCUUGACGGUACUGUAAGAAUAAGGAUCGGCUAACUCCGUGCCAGCAGCCGCGGUAAUACGGAGGAUCCAAGCGUUAUCCGGAAUCAUUGGGUUUAAAGGGUCCGUAGGCGGUUUAAUAAGUCAGUGGUGAAAGCCCAUCGCUCAACGAUGGAACGGCCAUUGAUACUGUUAGACUUGAAUUAUUAGGAAGUAACUAGAAUAUGUAGUGUAGCGGUGAAAUGCUUAGAUAUUACAUGGAAUACCAAUUGCGAAGGCAG